rnacentral:rRNA from 1 species
CGCGUAGGCGGUUAGAUAAGUCAGAUGUGAAAUUCCGGGGCUCAACCCCGGAGCUGCAUUUGAAACUAUGUAACUAGAGUACAAUUAGGGUAAACGGAAUUCCACGUGUAGCGGUGAAAUGCGUAGAUAUGUGGAAGAACACCGGUGGUGAAGACGGUUUACUGGGUUGAAACAGACGCUGAGGCGCGAAAGCUAGGGGAGCAAACA